rnacentral:rRNA from 1 species
AUUGAACGCUGGCGGCAGGCUUAACACAUGCAAGUCGAGCGGGGGAAGGUAGCUUGCUACCGGACCUAGCGGCGGACGGGUGAGUAAUGCUUAGGAAUCUGCCUAUUAGUGGGGGACAACAUCUCGAAAGGGAUGCUAAUACCGCAUACGUCCUACGGGAGAAAGCAGGGGAUCUUCGGACCUUGCGCUAAUAGAUGAGCCUAAGUCAGAUUAGCUAGUUGGUGGGGUAAAGGCCUACCAAGGCGACGAUCUGUAGCGGGUCUGAGAGGAUGAUCCGCAACACUGGGACUGGGACACGGCCCAGACUCCUACGGGAGGCAGCAGUGGGGAAUAUUGGACAAUGGGGGGAACCCUGAUCCAGCCAUGCCGCGUGUGUGAAGAAGGCCUUAUGGUUGUAAAGCACUUUAAGCGAGGAGGAGGCUACUUAGUUAAUACCUAGAGAUAGUGGACGUUACUCGCAGAAUAAGCACCGGCUAACUCUGUGCCAGCCGCCGCCGUAA